rnacentral:tRNA from 1 species
AAUUAAGUGGCUGAAUUGUUAGCAAUGGCCUCUUAAGCCACAAUAUAGUACAUUAACAAAUACUCUUAAUUA